AUUGAACGCUGGCGGCAGGCCUAACACAUGCAAGUCGAACGAGUGGCGGACGGGUGAGUAAUGUCUGGGAAACUGCCUGAUGGAGGGGGAUAACUACUGGAAACGGUAGCUAAUACCGCAUACCAUCGGAUGUGCCCAUAUGGGAUUAGCUAGUAGGUGGGGUAACGGCUCACCUAGGCCACGAUCCCUAGCUGGUUUGAGAGGAUGACCAGCCACACUGGAACUGAGACACGGUCCAGACUCCUACGGGAGGCAGCAGUGGGGAAUAUUGCACAAUGGGGGCAAGCCUGAUGCAGCCAUGCCGCGUGUAUGAAGAAGGACUUCGGGUUGUAAAGUACUUUCAGCGGAGAGGCGUUACCCGCAGAAUAAGCACCGGCUAACUCCGUGCCAGCAGCCGCGGUAAUUC
rnacentral:rRNA from 1 species